GGCGAGUGGCGAACGGGUGAGUAAUAUAUCGGAACGUACCCUGGAGUGGGGGAUAACGUAGCGAAAGUUACGCUAAUACCGCAUACGAUCUAAGGAUGAAAGUGGGGGAUCGCAAGACCUCAUGCUCCUGGAGCGGCCGAUAUCUGAUUAGCUAGUUGGUAGGGUAAAAGCCUACCAAGGCAUCGAUCAGUAGCUGGUCUGAGAGGACGACCAGCCACACUGGAACUGAGACACGGUCCAGACUCCUAC
rnacentral:rRNA from 1 species